UGAUCAAAACACACCGGAUCUGCUUGUAUACUACUAUAUAACUGUAAUCGUUUUCAAAGCAAUCAAUAAGGAGAUACCGUAUCACCGUAGCUCAUUGAGCCUAAACUUAUAUCGGAAAUCAUUCAAUGAGGUAAGAAAACAGGAAAAACCAUAAGCUGACAAUAUUUGUCAGUAUAUAUAUCCCAUUAAAGUUCUCUACUUGUCUUUGUUUAUGUCCAAAGUUUGUCCACGUUUUUUUGUAGUUUGCGAAUUUUGAUGAUAACGAUUCAAUCGGCUAUUUAUACAAAUUAGGGUCCCGUCACGGGACGACUAUAAGCACCACACGGGUUGAAAUCCUGAGCCCCAAUUUGUGUGGUUUUCAUCAUCUACAGUGCGCGGAUAGUGGGAUGCUUCCUAUACGGAGUAGUUGAAAUUCCAGUCGUGGACAAUUAGCGGUAUCAAGUGGGGAGUAUCUGUGAGAGGCCUGCGGCAUCGGAUCUUUCUUUAAUUCUGAGUGCCCGUGAUACUUGCGAGUUAUUGGCACCUUUAAAUAACCAAUGGCCAUAACGUUCUCGCUGCGAUCUAUCCCAUAGACCGGAACGAGCUUGCUCACCAACAGAGCUUGGCUAAGAAUGCCAUCUCCUCAUACAAAUGUGACUACAACACCAACAAUUAAGGGUCAUUUGAAGGUUUUAACAGCAGUUUCCAUCAUCUUUGACCAAAAUUCAUUUUUGAGGUUCUUUUGAAAGUUGAAAGUUUUGGCACGGAACCAUAUUAAGUUCUGGCAACCCUACGAUCAUCGUCAGCUUGCUUUAUUGCUCUCCCCUGCUGUUGCUGCUUCACACACAUAAGUAACAACAAACAUAAAUGUGUAAGUAUGGGAGAUGUGAUUGCAUUAAUACACCAUACAGCAACAAUAACAACAACACCAAUAAGACAACACUGGAAAACAUUUCUUGCUGCCUUUUUGAUGUUAUUGUUGUAUAUGUGUCUGUUGUUGCUUGGGCUAACUCUAGCUGUAGCUAUAGCUAACUAGCUUUCUGUCUGUCCAUAAAGAAACUUCUCUUGUUUUGUUGUCUUUUCGUUGUGUAUUGCGACGAAGACCACAAACUAACAGCAACAGAAACAACUAUAGCAGCCAAUAAAACAGAAAACACAAAGAAAAAACUAUUUAUGUUAAAUAUACGCAGAAAUGUGAAAUAUAAAUUCAAAUUAAAGAAGAAACUUGAAGUGAAGGUCGCAUAUAUAUAUGUAUGUAUGUAUUGUACGUAUGUUUGUUUGAAUAUACGUCGAAGUGGGGUAUGUAGUAAGCUUGUUGUAGAUUUUAAAGUUUUUGUGUGCAUGUGUGUAGAUACAUUUUUUUUUUUUGUUAAUAUGUUUGCAUGCACAGUCACAGUCACUAGCCAGCCAGUUUACAGACAGACGACUUACAGACCUAUCUCCACACUCUUAAUUCAUGUAAAAUAUCUUUACUUUAUUGUCUGUCAGAGUCUGUCCAUACGUUUGCUUGAUCGUCUGCCUGCUGUUCGCCCGUCCGUCCGUCCGUCCUUCUGUAGUUAUGUUUUUGUCAUGUUUUUUUAUGCAUACGAAAAUAUCCCCCCACCAUUUAAACCAUGUGAGUGAGUGUUGUGUGUGUGUAUGUAUGCCAUGCCUAGCCAUAUCAUCCAUGCAUGCAUGCAUGCCUAUGUGUGCUACUCCUCCUCAGAGAAGAGAUGUAAUAAUACAUGUCGUUGUCGACGACGUAGUCGUCGUCGUAGUCUCCGACAACGACACGACCUACAUAAAAGAAAAUUAUUCACUUGAAAAAGAAGAAGAGGCAAAAGACGGACGGACGGACAUAUAGAUGUUUGGUUGGUUGGUUAGUUGGACGUCAAA
rnacentral:sRNA from 1 species